rnacentral:lncRNA from 1 species
GGACAAUAGCUUUAAAGAUUGGUAUCUCCUCUUGCUAAAGGACCCACUACAGCCUAAGCAGCAGCAGUGCAAGGUAUUACAUGCUGCUCUUCUAAUGUUCCUUCAUGUGGAGGAGUAGCUAGCAGUGUGUUUCUACUAAACCCAUCAAAAAAGAUGCAGGCAGUCCUUGUGUGUGAAUCAAUAGUCAUUGGCAGCAAGGCAGAAACCAACAGAGUCGUCAUAAUCAAGAUGGGUGAUAUCAUAGAUGGCAGUGACUUUUGGUCAGCACAUGUUGGGUGAUGACCUGGAAAGAUGCCACAAGUCAUAUCCAGUUCCUUGAUCCAGUGUAUGUGGUAGUGUUCAGACUUUUCCUUCCUGCUGCCUUGCUGCUAUUCACUUUUUCUCCCUCCUCCAUGCCAUCUACUGCAGUGACUGGGUGA